rnacentral:rRNA from 1 species
GAUGAACGCUGGCGGCGUGCCUAACACAUGCAAGUCGAGCGGGAAAUUCCUGAUUAGAAACUUCGGUCGAAAGAGGGAAUGGAGAGCGGCGGACGGGUGAGUAACGCGUAGGCAACCUCGCCCUUUGCGAGGGGGAUAGCCAUUAGGAAACGAUGAAUUAAAACCUCAUAAUGCCAUAUGUUCACAUGGACGAAUGGACCAAAGUAUUUAUCGGACAAAGGAUGGGCCUGCGUCUGAUUAGCUGGUUGGUGGGGUAACGGCCUACCAAGGCGACGAUCAGUAGCCGACCUGAGA